AGAUAACGUUUUCCACAUGGGCUUCCAGUAGGAAAUAAAUUGAUUACUAUCCAUAAAAUGGGAAUAGUAUCUAGCAUAUGGUGUUAGAUGGUUUAAUUAUGUUUACCGAGGGAUGUCAUAAAGAAUGGAAAUGAAUGGAAGUGACUUGGGGCAAGCUUUUCCACUUCCAUUCCUAAACUGUUGACAAAGGCAAAAGACUUCAGAAGAGGUCUUUUCUUGAGGAGAGGUCACCUAUUACAUACUUACUAAUCAACAGUGAGAUGGACAUGACCCAAGUGAGCAAAAACGGAUGUGUGCAUUUCACAAGCCUUCAGCAACUAUAUAUUGAUUACCGUGAUCCUGUGGCUCUACCAGGUGCUCCUGCAUCAGCCCCAUGCUGUGCACGUUUGUCCUUCAUCUUCCCAUGUACUGCUCGGCCUGCCUAACAGAAGCUUUUUGGGAUCCCAGAUCCCACAAUCUGGCUUUAGUUUGUUCUCCCUAAAUUGCUAAGCUGCAAAAAGGCAUGUCCUCCCAUCCCACUGUGGUCUCCUGGAGUUUGGACACCAGGUCCUUUUUGACUAAGACACUCUUCUCCAUCCUACCCUCUGUGUCCUUCCUCUCCUGAUGAUGUCCUCUGAAGACUCAGGGUGGGAUGAAAUCCCUGAUCUUUCAUUGGCUAGCCAUGUGCCCUUGAGCAAGAAACUCCAACUCACUCAGUUUGGUUUCUGGAUCUGUAAAUUGGGGGUUAAAAUUUUCCUCCAGAGGGCCAUUGGGAAGAAUAAAUGAAAUAACUCUUGCACAGUGCUCAUUGUGUGGUAAGUACUCAAUAAAUUCUC
rnacentral:lncRNA from 1 species